UUCCUACGGGAGGCAGCAGUGGGGGAUAUUGCACAAUGGGGGGAACCCUGAUGCAGCGACGCCGCGUGGGUGAAGAAGCGUUUCGGCGCGUAAAGCCCUGUCAGCAGGGAAGAAGAUGACGGUACCUGACCAAGAAGCCCCGGCUAACUACGUGCCAGCAGCCGCGGUAAUACGUAGGGGGCAAGCGUUAUCCGGAUUUACUGGGUGUAAAGGGGGCGCAGACGGCGGUGCAAGUCAGGAGUGA
rnacentral:rRNA from 1 species